rnacentral:rRNA from 1 species
AUUGAACGCUGGCGGCAUGCCUUACACAUGCAAGUCGAACGGUAGCGCGGGGUAACCUGGCGACGAGUGGCGAACGGGUGAGUAAUGCAUCGGAACGUGCCCUGGAAUGGGGGAUAACGUAGCGAAAGUUACGCUAAUACCGCAUAUUCUGUGAGCAGGAAAGCAGGGGAUCGCAAGACCUUGCGUUCUGGGAGCGGCCGAUGUCGGAUUAGCUAGUUGGUGGGGUAAUGGCCUACCAAGGCGACGAUCCGUAGCGGGUCUGAGAGGAUGAUCCGCCACACUGGGACUGAGACACGGCCCAGACUCCUACGGGAGGCUGCCUGAGACCGCCAAGGCACACAGGGGAUAGG